rnacentral:rRNA from 1 species
AUUGAACGCUGGCGGCAGGCCUAACACAUGCAAGUCGAACGAGCGGCGGACGGGUGAGUAAUGUAUGGGAAUCUGCCCGAUGGAGGGGGAUAACUACUGGAAACGGUAGCUAAUACCGCAUACCAUCGGAUGUACCCAGAUGGGAUUAGCUAGUAGGUGGGGUAACGGCUCACCUAGGCGACGAUCCCUAGCUGGUCUGAGAGGAUGACCAGCCACACUGGAACUGAGACACGGUCCAGACUCCUACGGGAGGCAGCAGUGGGGAAUAUUGCACAAUGGGGGCAAGCCUGAUGCAGCCAUGCCGCGUGUAGGAAGAAGGCAUUCGGGUUGUAAAGUACUUUCAGCGGGGAGGCGUUACACGCAGAAGAAGCACCGGCUAACUCCGUGCCAGCAGCCGCGGUAAUAC